GGAAAAUGAGAUUGUCCUAUUUAUUCCUCUGAAUAUUCCCCAGCAUCUAUCACAGUGCUCUUUAUAAAGUCAGCCCUCACGGAACCCUAAAAGCUGGCUAAGGGGCCAUUCUCCUCGCCACCUGGGCCUGCGUCUGCCGAAUCGCUUCCUAAGGACUUUGACUAGAAACCAAAGGUCCCAUUUUUCAUCUGCCAUUUAUUUAUCAUUGCAUAACUUAGGGGAAACACAUGGUGCCCAGAAGGGCUUAAUUAGUAGCAGCUGUGCGGGGUGAUGCACAGAGUGCCCCAAGGGUGUCCUGAGUGAGGGUGGAUGUCCCCUGCCCUCUGGCUUCGUGAAGGCUUCGUGAAGCCUGCCGGGUCACCCUUGUUUUCAUGGAUAGCUUCUUUAGGACACUCUCUCCACCAGUAAUUGACAAAGUCUGCUUCUGUUGAGUGUCUGAUAAAGGAUUGAGUUUACAUGAUUGUUAAGAUAGGAUCAUGAAAGAAGACAGAAGACGGAUGUGAGUGGCCCUCAGAAAAAAAGCAUCAAAGGAAACUGAGGAGUCUGUGUUCCGAGUUAUAACAUCAGUCCUGUGUGUUCUCGCAUUCUUGCUCUUAAUCCUCCCUUGGCGACCUUCUACUCAGACAUCAUCUUUUAUGCAGAGAAGCAGGCACGUUUCUCAUCAUUAAUUCUGUUCUCAGCCAGGUGUGUAGCCACAGAGCAUACAGACCACAGGAUGAUGGAAAGCAUAUUGACUUUCCUGACUUCUUAUGACCACAUUUGAGGAAAGGAGUAAGCACUGGAAUCACCAACACAGCAUGCUUACGGAGGGUGGUCACCAGCUUCAUCAGCCUCCCAAUUCCACGGAGCCCCUUGAAAAUCCAGGAGCGCAGACUGGCAACAGUAGAGAUUUAAUAGGCACUGUUUUAUAGGGGAACUCGAGAAGCAGUCAGGAAGGAAGGUCUCGGCUAUUGCUGAGCUGAAGAGUAGUUUACUGGAGGUUAUACUCCAGUCAAAGAAGAUGGAAACCAAGAAAGGACACAUUUUGGAGAUUAGCACUGGCU
rnacentral:lncRNA from 1 species